GCUUGUGGCGCAGCGGUAGCGCAGAGGACUCAUAAUCCUUUGGUCGCUGGUUCGAAUCCAGCCGGGCC
rnacentral:tRNA from 1 species